rnacentral:rRNA from 1 species
GAUGAACGCUGGCGGCGUGCAUAACACAUUCAAGUCGAACGAACAGCCUGAUUUCGAUUGGGCUGUUAGUGGCGGACGGGUGAGUAACGCGUGAGCAACCUACCUAUAUGAGGGGGAUAACAGUUGGAAACGACUGCUAAUACCGCAUAACAUAACGAUUUGGCAUCGAAUUGUUAUCAAGGAGCAAUCCGCAUAUAGAUGGGCUCGCGUCUGAUUAGGUAGUUGGUGAGGUAACGGCUCACCAAGCCGACGAUCAGUAGCCGGACUGAGAGGUUGAACGGCCACAUUGGAACUGAGAAACGGUCCAGACUCCUACGGGAGGCAGCAGUGGGGAAUAUUGGGCAAUGGGCGAAAGCCUGACCCAGCGACGCCGCGUGAAGGAAGAAGGUCUUCGGAUUGUAAACUUAUGUCAGCAGGGAAGAAAAAAAUGACGGUACCUCAAAAACAAGCCACGGCUAACUACGUGCCAGCCGCCGCCGUAA